UGUGGUCCGAGUUUCUUUUUUAAAGUUAACAGUCUUCACAGAAGCUGGGGUUGGGUUGAAGUCAGGAAUAACAUGGUCCGCUGUUGUUUGUAGGAUGGGAAUGACUGAAGGCCAAGGCUGACUUUCCAAGGAAUUAUCCAGAGAAUGGAGGAAGAAGAAGCAGACCUUAAAACUCUCAAGAAGGAUUUUGUAUUUUUUAGUUGAUUUCCGGAGAAUUGAACUCUGGCUUAAUUUGAGAAAGUAUCUCGAAAAUUCUUCAUACUAGAGCAAAAGUUACCCAAGUAUAAUCCAAUUAAGACACACACACACACACACACACACACCCCAGUACUAGUGAUAACAUGCAAACAUCGUUUGGUUUUGAUAGAAACAGAAAACAAGCUUUUGGUUCUCAAAAUGCUUUCCUGGGGCGUAGGGAAGGAAAUAUAACCACUAUACUAAGUGUAUGGAACCAGGCGAGGAGAUGGUCAUGAUUUCUUCCUCUGAUAAGAAUGAUACUUUACACCAUCACAUGCCAACAAACUGGGAAAAAAAAAUUCCUACAGUGGUAUGUUCAGUGUUACAGGAGAAUUGAAAACGAUCAGUGUCAAACAGAGAGACCGUGGGCAUCACUGACAGUGCACAUCAUAGUGGGUAAGAGCAAACCAGAGACAGAUGGCUUGAGUCAGAAUCUGGGCUUUGUCUCUUCUGGCUGGCUGACUUCAUGCAAGAUACACAAGCUCUUUCUGCCUCAGUUUCCUCAUCUACAAAAGGGGGAUGAUAACAGUAGUCCUAGUGCCUGGGCUCGUCGCCAGGAUUCAAGAAGGAGUAUAUGUGAAGCUCUUAGACGACCCCCUCCUAGUCAAGUAAUCUUUGAAACCAAAGUACGCGAACCAAAGAGCAUGGAAUCAAAAGGUUCCUGAAGCUCUGAGAUGGGAAUGAGAACCGAAGAAGCCAUAUGAUAAGAUGCCGUGAUCAGAAAUAAAAUGAGACAUGUUUUGACACUUAAUGACAUCCUAAAAGAUUGGGCGGCAGAAGAUGUACACGUGUGUCUGCAGUAAAUGUGGACAAUGCUUACUGUGGCUUUCAAGGCUGGAGAAAGCACACCCGAGGGGGUCGUGUCCCACACUAGGCAGAUCUAAUGGUGCCACAAAAGACAGGUGUUUUGUCAGAUUUCAGCCACACACUUUCACACCUGCAACGCAUUAAGUACAGCAGCAAUGUUAAUGAAGACCAGGUGCCUGUUCCCCAACUUAAAUGAGAAACUGGCGUGAGGUUUGCUGUUCGCUACCUGACGUCUUCCUCCGUGUCUCUGAACACCGGCCCUCCAGUUGACUGGGAAAAUGAACUGGGUACGGCGGUUAUCCUCGCUGCCUGAGUCGCCUGUUGGUUCUCACCCUCCGAGAGUGGGGAAGACUCUUCCAGCCCCAAGUGUUUCUGGGUUUCUCUGCGGCUACCCCUUUUGUGCAGAGCUCCGCCUCCGGGAGUCCCGAAAAGAGCCUGAGCUGCACGAUCGGCAAAAUGGGUUUCUGGAAAGUGCUGUGUUAUCAGCUGCUACCAGGGAAAGUUUGA